UUAAUAGAAGCCAAAUUAGAGGCUAUUCACUGUUAAUGAAUAUAUUGAUUUUUCAAUCCUAUUAAG
rnacentral:tRNA from 1 species